CAUAUCUUUGAAGUGUCUGUAUUUGAGAACUUCAGCUUCUGCUAAUCACAGUUUUCCUUUUAUCAGGAGUGAACUGAAUACAGUAGACAUGCUGAGAGGCGUCGGUUGACCAAGUCGCUGAGAAUUCUACACCGCCAUUCAGGCUCUGAAUCCUACCGUAACCACUAACCGUCUACAGGACUUCAUUCACAAGUAAGAAUGCCUUGCCCUGCAUGGCAAGCCUGGUCUGAGAGUACAGAGGAAUAUUAAGGAAUUUCUCAGACAGGACUGGGAUAUAUUUGGAAAGCAGAGAGCACAACGUUCUGGUUGGGGAGAGAGCACACUUUGGAGAGGAUCUCCUCGACCUAAUCAGGGACCUGUUGGUACCCUCAGCAUCAGCGUGACAGCUCUCCACAGCGCCUCUGACCUCAUUCAUCAGGUGCUGAAGAACUGUUUCCAGAAAAUGAAAACUGAUUGCAACAUUGCACCAGCAUAAAGCUCAUUCAAUAAAAAUAAAAGGGGACUUGGAGAGUGAAGAUUCGGAGAAAUCAUAGAUAAAUAUAUAUUUUUAGGUAUUCCAUGUUUAUCCUCCUACCAGAACAAGUGAGUUAAUGUAAAGCAAACAGCCAGUGUCAGUUAAGAGAAGAAGCUAUUAGGAAAGUAAGAAUAUGUUCAGUGUUUACCAUAGAAAGGAGUGAAUCUAUUACUUCGGAAUGAAACAGAAGCAUAAUUUGUUCUUAUUAAACUGUUCUCCGAAGAUGCGCUUCUGUUUACAAAACCACACCGAGGCAAAGUGUUUUCUUUUCAUCCUUGAAACCUCUUCGACAGCAAUCUGUUGACACACAAGGGCAUCAGGGGCUUAUAUCAGAACAUGAUUUGCUUAUGUGGGAUAUCACCUGCAUUAAAACAGUGCUCAGAGUUGAGCCCCAAGAUGUCUCUAUUAAAAUGUGAAGCCUAGUCCUAUGUGUUUCUGUGAAUCAAAGAAUAAAUACGAAGCUUAAAAUCUCUGAGUUAAAAAUGAAGAUGUUGGGGGGCUGGAGAGAUGGCUCAGCAGUUAAGAACACCCGACUGUUCUUCCAGAGGUCAUGAGUUCAAUUCCCAGCAACCACAUGGUGGCUCACAACCAUCUGUAAAGAGAUCCGAUGCCCUCUUCUGGUGUGUCUGAAGACAGCUACAGUG
rnacentral:lncRNA from 1 species